rnacentral:tRNA from 1 species
GCUUAGCUCAGUUGGUUUAGAGCACUUGGUUUACACCCAAGGGGUCAUAGGUUCGAAUCCUAUAGCGC